UGCGUAGGCGGCGCGGUAAGUCGGGUGUGAAAUCUUGGAGCUUAACUCCGAAACUGCAUUCGAUACUGCCGUGCUUGAGGACUGGAGAGGAGACUGGAAUUUACGGUGUAGCGGUGAAAUGCGUAGAUAUCGUAAGGAAGACCAGUGGCGAAGGCGGGUCUCUGGACAGUUCCUGACGCUGAGGCACGAAGGCCAGGGGAGCAAACG
rnacentral:rRNA from 1 species